rnacentral:rRNA from 1 species
CUUGGUCAUUUAGAGGAAGUAAAAGUCGUAACAAGGUCUCCGUUGGCGAACCAGCGGAGGGAUCAUUACCGAGUUUACAACUCCCAAACCCCUGUGAACAUACCACUUGUUGCCUCGGCGGAUCAGCCCGCUCCCGGUAAAACGGGACGGCCCGCCAGAGGACCCCUAAACUCUGUUUCUAUAUGUAACUUCUGAGUAAAACCAUAAAUAAAUCAAAACUUUCAACAACGGAUCUCUUGGUUCUGGCAUCGAUGAAGAACGCAGCAAAAUGCGAUAAGUAAUGUGAAUUGCAGAAUUCAGUGAAUCAUCGAAUCUUUGAACGCACAUUGCGCCCGCCAGUAUUCUGGCGGGCAUGCCUGUUCGAGCGUCAUUUCAACCCUCAAGCACAGCUUGGUGUUGGGACUCGCGUUAAUUCGCGUUCCUCAAAUUGAUUGGCGGUCACGUCGAGCUUCCAUAGCGUAGUAGUAAAACCCUCGUUACUGGUAAUCGUCGCGGCCACGCCGUUAAACCCCAACUUCUGAAUGUUGACCUCGGAUCAGGUAGGAAUACCCGCUGAACUUAAGCAUAUCAAUAAGCGGAGGA